UACGUAGGGGGCAAGCGUUGUCCGGAAUCAUUGGGCGUAAAGAGCGUGUAGGCGGCCCGGUAAGUCCGCUGUGAAAGUCGGGGGCUCAACCCUCGAAUGCCGGUGGAUACUGUCGGGCUCGAGUACGGAAGAGGCGAGUGGAAUUCCUGGUGUAGCGGUGAAAUGCGCAGAUAUCAGGAGGAACACCAAUUGCGAAGGCAGCUCGCUGGGACGUUACUGACGCUGAGACGCGAAAGCGUGGGGAGCAAACAGG
rnacentral:rRNA from 1 species